ensembl:lncRNA
GUGUCUCUCUCUCCCUCUCCCCUCCCCUCUCUCUCUCUCCCUCCCUCUCUCCCUCCAUCUCCCUCCCUCUCCCUCUCUCUAUCUCUCUCUCUCUCUCCCCUCUCCCUCUCUCUCUCUCUCCCUCUCCCCCUCUCUCUCUCUCUCUCUCUCCUCCCUCUCUCCCUCCCUCUCCCUCUGUCUCUCGCCCCUCCAUCAGCUGUGCCUCCCGUCUCCUGGCCCGGUUCCUAGGCCCUGCGAUCCCUUUCUAAUGCGUCACUGCUCUGCACAUCACAACACGUCCUUCCCUUCUGUUCUGCCGAUGUGCACCACAAACAGCUUCCCCCUCUGAUGUUCCUCGCCGAAAUGUGACUCACCCCCUCAGGGUGGCGGGGGAGACAAAAGGGGGGAGGCUGAGUGUUGUGUAACCCGUCAGUCAUCCCCGUCUGACACGCAGGCAUCGCUUUGUUCCGACAAAUCGCGGCCGUCCGUCUUCCCGUGUGCGCAGCGUCGCGGCUAUUCCGGGGUACGGAGGGAGAGUAACGCGAUGCGUGACAUGUGCCACUCAAAGAUAUUUUAGCCUCCUGCAAUUUACGCAGACUUUUGUGUGUGUGUGUGUGUGUGUGUGUGUGUGUGUGUGUGACUCAUAGUGCUGACUCAGUGAAAGCCCCUCUGUGACUCCAGGAGAUGGAACUGAUACACACAACAGGGAAUAGGGGUGUGUGUGUUGUGUGUGUGUGUGUGUGUGUCUGACUCACUGUCAGCCUCUGUAGCAGAUCAGCAGCUGCUGCAGCGGGCUCUGCCUGUUAGCAGCUGCUGCUGCUGUGUCGGGAUGACGUCAUCGGCCACACACACACACACACUCAAAUAUACAUAUACACACACACACACACACACACGCACAAAUGUCAAUCAGCCCAGUUGAGUGGCUUUAUUUAACGCACACAGCACCCCCCCUCUCUCUCCCCCUCUCCCUCCUUUGUAUGAAGAUAGCCUCUCUAGUGGUGUUAGAUAACAAGAAAAAGACACACACACACACACACACACACACACACCAAUGUGUCACACCUGUGCUAGCGCAGCCGAGGUACUAAUGCAUCGGAGGCGACGGCAGUUGGCUACCGUGACGGCGUCGGACCAGCAGCCAUUAGUCAGAGCCCCUGAGAGGCAAGGUGCUGAUUAGCUCCCCCCUCCUCCCCCCUCCCUCCUGGCGUCUCUCUCCUUCGCUUUAAUGCCACCGACGGCACAGGUGCUGGUCCCCCUCCUUUGAGUCUGCAACGUGACAUUAUGGGGGCCACACACACACACACACACACACACACACACACACACACACACACACACACACACACACACACACCUUUGUCAGUUUCUAGGGCCACGGACGUGUGCCGUGAAAGCACUUAGACAUCCUGUUCUCUACCCCCCCCCCUCCUCCUCCUCCUCCGUCCCUGAAGGCUGAUUGUAUUUCCCACCUUGGUCUUAGUGUGACGGUGAUAUUGCAGCGGGUGGAGGUAGAUGUGGUGUAUGACCGCGUUGGGGUUGGCUGUCGUCACGAGUGAGGGAGGAAGGGACAGCACCCAGAGCCUACGCCCUAUCGUAGCAGCACCCAGAGCCUACGCCCUAUCGUAGCAGCACCCCGCGUCUCAGACGACAUAACUCUUAAGGCGGCGGAGUUAGGACGGAAGGGAGGCGGAGCUGACGGGGGGGAGCGACACAGCAGGUCAGGUGACCCGACAGGUCAGGUGACCCGACAGGUCAGGUGACCCAGCAGGUCAGGUGACCCAGCAGGCCAGGUGACCAUGCCUACCGAGCGCACCGAGCCACGAUGGAAACAGAACGAAGAAGAACAUAGAUGGGGGGGUUGGGUUUGAGAAAGAGGGACAGCCAGGACUCUGAGAGCACUCUCCACAGAAACAAGUAGUCGUACUUGAUAAAGAAACGAUUUCAAUACAGCGAGGGGCCAUCAAGACGUCAGUAGAUCAAAGACGAAGGCUAAAAACAGGCACUGACACGCGGCAUGCGAUGCGAUAACAACAGGGUUGAUUAAGAUGAAGCGGGAGGGGGGGAGGGGGGGUUAAGACAGCUAGACGGACAGGGACCGAGACGGACGGGGAGGGCAGUGCAAUGUGGACGGGAGGGAGGUUUGAAUCAAUACGAGGACGCAUCACGAUAGGUCACGCAGGCGCCGUCGGCAAAGGCCGGUUAACCCCCGCGGACCACCCCCCUCCCCACCGCCGCCUCGCAAAUGUCAACUCACCGAGGACAGGACGCCAGAUACAAACUCUCCAUUCUUUAUCCCCCCUACCCCCUACACACACAUAAACGCACACACACACAUCCUCACACACAGCGGGUUAUGCCUAUGGCUAUGAAUCAGGCCAUGAAUGAAGUUGCACUGUUGUUGACAGCGGCUAUCAAUCUGGGGGUCCGACGAUGGAACAGAACAUUGUUUUUAGGGACAGAGAUGGGUAUGUGGGCUUGGACCAGCUGGGGAGGUCGAGUUAUACAUGGAAUGUGCCCGGAUGUCCCCCGAACGGGCAGGCAUGAAGGACCUGCAGGCCUGGUCGAUGGGUUCCCCCCCCC